rnacentral:rRNA from 1 species
CAAUAGCGUAUAUUUAAGUUGUUGCAGUUAAAAAGCUCGUAGUUGGAUUUUGGUUAAGAGGGCGCGGUCGGCCGUUUGGUCUGUACUGCGUUGUCUUGACUUCCUGAUGAGGACAUGCUCUUGGUUAACGCUGAGACAUGGAGUCAUCGUGGUUACUUUGAAAAAAUUAGAGUGUUCAAAGCGGGCUUACGCUUGAAUAUAUUAGCAUGGAAUAACACUAUAGGACUCCUGUCCUAUCUCGUUGGUCUCGGGAUGGGAGUAAUGAUUAAGAGGAACAGUUGGGGGCAUUCGUAUUUCAUUGUCAGAGGUGGAAUUCUUGGAUUGUGUUGCGACGAACUACUGCGAAAGCAUUUGCCAAGGAUGUUUUCAUUGAUCAAGAACGAAAGUAAGGGGAUCGAAGACGAUUAGAUACCAU